UACAGAGGUGCCAAGCGUUAGGCGGAAUCACUGGGCUUAAAGCGCGUGUAGGUGGAUGGGUAAGUCCCUUGUGAAAUCCCACGGCUCAACCGUGGAACUGCUUGGUAUACUGCUUGUCUUGAGGCACUCAGGGGCAGCUGGAACAAAUGGUGGAGCGGUGAAAUGCGUAGAUAUCAUUUGGAACGCCAAAGGUGAAAACAGGCUGCUGGGAGUGAUCUGACACUGAGACGCGAAAGCCAGGGGAGCAAACAGG
rnacentral:rRNA from 1 species